UUUUCUUAGGUGAAGUGGGUUGUGUUGUAUUCAUUCAUCUCAACAUGUUUUGAGUCGAAUAAAAGAAAACUAUUCGCACAAGCCUCCUUCGCUAGCCAAUGAGCAGCUCCAUUAGCCGAGCGUCCCACCCAUGCCACACAGAACUCCUGGGUUGAUCGCAUGGAUUCCUUUACCUCCUCAACAAUAGGGCCAUAGACUGAUCUAUCAAAUUCUUAGCUUCUUAAUAACUCACAUCAUCUACUGCCGCCCCCCCUACUUUCUCCGUAAACGUCUGAAACGUCCGCCCCGGUCAGUGCCCGGUCAAAAAUGAGUGACCCAACCGGACCCUCACUUUAUCCCUAAAUGUCCGGACUGACCGAUAUACCUUAGACCCAUCUCAAAUCUAGGGGCAGGAUGGGCUACGGUCACGCCCGGGUACCCGCUCGGUCCCACCUGCAACCACCCAAUCUUUCUUUCUCGCCUCUCUCACAUGGAGCAUGGAACGAUGCCAACACAGGGGAGGAGGUGGCUCGCGACGAUGAUGAGGUGAGCAGAGGAGGCUGCUGACAGCGUGGACGAUGGUGGGGGAGGCACCUGACGACCUCGCGCGACCACCACAUGUACCUACUGUCCAAAGCCGCAUGCAACCGUGGGCACGUCGACGGGUCACCGCAGCCUUGUGUUGGCCGUCGGCGAGCGAGCGUGCUCGCCUGCGGGUAGGCGGGCGAGCAUGAUGGAUGCCGCCACAGCCGCUUGUUGUCUAGCCUAGCUGUGGGGAUGCUAGCUGCCGUAGCUGGCACAACCCCGGCCUGGCCGUCGUGUGCGGGUGGGCAAUUGGGACUUAAUCUUGAUUUCAAUGUUUCUGCAUGUUUGUUUUUAGUGAUGCAUGCAGUUUAGAUUGUCCAGGAAAAAAACAUUGCAUAUAUAUUAUACACUUCUUAAUCUUCCAUAAAAACACAUAGGUGAUUAACAAACUCCAUGUUCAUAAAAAUACAAUAAAUUAGUCUAAUUGGUAUUGUCAGCUAAGAAGAUCAACGACCUUCUUGAGCAGUACCAAAAAAUAGCUGAGUUAAGUCAAUUUUGCCAAUCAUACUCACCCCGCUCUGUAAGCGGCCACAAUUAUUGACCGCGGCUGAGGUCUGCUCCUUCCCACGCAAAAGGCGGCGGGGCCCUCUCCAAAUUGCCAGUGCUCUUUAACCGGGACGGUGACUGUUCCAAGGCCUUGUCGGAGAUGUAAUCUUGCCUCCAUCCUUACCGGGUACAUCCAGUUUUGCUCAUGACAACAAGAUCAUCCUUAUAUUUUGGCAAGCCUAAAGAGUUUUAGUGUAGUGUUCACGUUUCCUUUCACAAAUGGAAUAGAGGAAAUUGAACCACAGAGCAAUAUAAUAAUGUAGCUCUUUCACCAUUGUACACAAAAAUAUGGUUGUUUCACAAAUCCAAACAUAUUUUAUUUUUAUGUGCAAGGAAAUUAAGCAAUUUACAAUCAGUAAAUGAAUCUAGGGAGCAAAUGGAUAAAUGGUUAGGAUCUUGCAAAAAAAUACCCCAGUAAAACUUACACAUACACAACUGUUGAUCUUCUCCUACUAUUCUCCUUAUAUACAAUAUUAAUUUGUAACACAUCAGACUCUCCAAAAUUUUUGAGAUCUCUAAAGAUAAAAUGAUGUUCUUCAGUGCCAGCGCCGCUUCUUCUUAGCCUAAAACAUACCCCCUCUGUCCCACAAUAUAAGAUGUUUUUGCAAGCUAUGUUAGCUUGCAAAGACAUCCUAUAUUAUCGGACGGAGGGAGUAGCACAACGACAUUCUAAGAACCAUAAAACCAAGCAAAAACGUCAGCAGCAAGGGAAAAGGGUGACAACUGCCUUCAGAUGUUAUUCGCUACGGCCUAUAGCAAAUUUUCUAGGCAAUAAAGGUAAUGCUAGCUCAACAUGCAUUUCAUAAAAAAUGAAUUACAAAUCACAAUGAAAAAGUAUUUGACGACUUAAAGCAAACAAAUACUAAUCUUUGUUGUUUUCUUUUCCAUUUCAGUAAGAAACAAAAUGAGUACACGAGUCAUCCCCAUGAAAUGCAUGAACAAAGCAAGCAGGAGCAACAAAAUUAAAGCAAACUUCUUACUGGGUUGGCAACUCAUCCAAGUAUUUUUACAUGGACUAUCAUAAUUGUUAAAAAUAAUUCUGUAAUUGGGGGAAAAUCUCCCCUUGCCCAAAACCGUCGUUGCGGUUUGUCCCACAACCAAUGUCUCCCUUCGAUCUCCUGGAACCGACGCCUCCUCGAGGAAUCGUCGUGUCUCUUCGGGAGAUAUAAAAGGGGGCCUGUAACCGUCGAUCAAAGGAUUCAAUCAUUCUGAUUCAAAACACGUUAUCAGCACGUAGAACAACCAGCGAGAGCAAAAGGCAACAGAGAAAGGAUAAGAGAGGAAUCACUCGCCGCUGGUGAGAUGACAGGCUCGUCUCCUUCUUCCUCCAUCUGAUCCGCGAGGAUGGUCGCCGCUACUGCCUCAUUGCCCUUCGCCGCCAUGGAGUUGGUGGCCACCGCCGUUUCCGUCGACGGAUGCAAGCCAUCCGACGGUUCAGCCGGAGCGCCGCUGGACGUGCCGCCCCUGGCAGCCACCGUGCCGCUGGAUGCGCCCGUCGUGGUGCUCACCACGCCCCUGGACACGGUCCCCGUGCUCCCGGACGCGCCCACUGCGGUGCUCCCCGCGCCCGUGGGCAAGCGUCCAUGGGGUACGACCCUUGGCUGGUGGCCGGCCCGAGCGCCCCCAUGAUGCACGGGGCUGCUACCGCGCCUGCCCUGCCCACUGGGUCUCCGCCUCCACCACCUCCUCCGCCGGCCGCAUGGAUCCCACCGUCAACACUGACCCCUGAUGCCGUGGCCGCUGGCCUGAGCCUCCGCCCGCCUGGCUACGCCCCGGUGCCGAUGCGCUCGACGGUGAAUGCAGAGGAAGCGCUCGCCUUCAUCUCCGCUCCAUCCGGCGCCUCUGGUGUCGUCCGCCUUGGAGUUGGCAUGGAGGGCACCGCCGCCGCCGGCACGCCUCAACAGGAGACAGCCGCGGGCUCAAGCAGCCGCGCGGAGCGGUGCUUCGGCCGCCUCUUCAGGCACGCCGUCGCAGCCCUCGACCGCCGCCCCGGCCGUCACCCAGGCUCAUGGGCUCCGGCGGACCACGGUUUCACCGCUACUCCACUGCCCCAGGCCUCCACCAUCGUCGUCUCCUCUUCAGAUGAAGAGGCCUCAUCGGUGUCGUGUCGCUGACACCUGAAGAUGCGAGGGGAGGUGCCGGCGCUCGCCCCAAUCGCUGGCGACUGGGCUCCCUGCUACUUGCGAGCGCAUGGGGUGGUGGGGGAUCGAGCGUGGUGCGGGUCGGGCGAUUCCUUAUCCGUAACCGCCCCACCUCUCGCCUCCUCUCUUAUGCGUGGGUGGCUGCGGGCUGGUCUCGGUCGGCGGUGGCAGGCCCAGGCGAUCGGCAUACUCUCUUCAAGUUUUUUUUCUUUCUCUAUUUUUAUUAGUCUAGUACUAAUUAUUGUAUUUGUGUUAGUACUGUUUAGUACAUAGAUUGACUACUACUUACAUUUUAGUCAUGUUCUAGAUUCAUUCUAUGUUAGGACUUGUGUAAUUAUUAGUAGGUUUGUUUAUAUUAUGUAAUGGAUUGAUAAUAUAAAUAAAGUACCAGAUUUCAUCUGGGAAGAAUGACAUGUUCCAUGUGUUUACCACAUCUUAUUUUUAUCGAACAUGUCUUUGCGAUUCAGAUCUUCUCUUGCAUAUCAAACUUGCAAAUUUUUGAAUGUUUCUCCCUCAUCUUAUUUGGAAUCACAAGGUAAUGAGUUGUGAUCUACUGCUCAUUUGUAGACUAUCCUCUCUUACUGUGAGGUCUACGCUUUGUCAUUCUCGACAAACGAUUACCUCCAACGUGUAUUCCUUAUAUCUGAAUUGUAGCAUACACAAGGUAAUGGCGAAGUAGCCUAUUACUGUGAGAUCCAAGUGAUCUUCAAAGUGUUAUGUUCACACAAUUGAGGUUGAGAAUUUUUCAAGUUUACACUUGAGUAUCAAAUUUUUGCAUUCUUAUUACACAACCAUGAUGGUUUUUAAUUUACCACCCGUAAAUUAAUUAUCUCUGGUUUUCCCAUGUAGGCAAAGAUGACUGCCAAAGAAUUUGAGGAGCUUGCCCUCAAUGGCCACAAUUACCCUACAUGGGCUAUGGACAUCAAGAUCAGUCUUGCUUCCCGUGGGAUAGCGCGUGCAAUACAAACCCCGGAGACUCCUCUCCCGGAUGGGGCCACGCCGCUGACAGAACAGCAGAACUAUGCUGCAUUAUUCAUCAUAAGGCACCAUAUUAAUCCAGAUCUCAAGUAUGAGUAUUUACAGGAGGAAUCUCCUAGUACUCUGUUUCUGGCCCUCAAAACAAGGUAUGAACAGCAGAAGGCAGUAGUCCUGCCCGAAUCACUCCAUGAUUGGACUCAUCUUCGUCUUCAGGAUUUCAAGUCCAUCGGUGAGUACAAUCAUGCUGUUCAUAAGAUAUGUUCCAAACUGUGCUUUUGUGAGAAGGAACCUACUGAGGGGGAGAAGAUAGAGAAAACUUUGUCUACUAUGCUCCCAUCCGAUAGGAUGCUCCAACAGCAAUACCGUGCUCGUAACUACACUGCCUAUUCCGAGCUUAUUCACAUGUUACUUCAGGCUGAAAAGCAUGAUGAGCUACUCGCUAAGAAUGGCUCUCAACGCCCAGUUGGUGCACAACCUUUACCUGAAGUCUAUCUGAAUGUUGCAAAUAGACAGAAGUUUAAUGGUACCCCUCGGGGUAAACAAUCCAAUUUCGAGCAUAAGCGAAAGCGCAAUGGGAACAGGAGAUCUAGAUACCCAGGCAAGGGAAAAGGCACUUCAAAGCCCAGGUUUGAUAAAUCUAAGCUUUGCAACAAGUGUGGAUGCUCCACGCAUUCUACUGAAAAGUGCACAAUGCCCAAGCAUCUGGUUAUGUUGUACUAGCAAUCUCAGGGAUGCAAAGCACCUCAAGGGAAAAGGUUUGAAGCCAACUUGAACCUUCAUCCGGAUAGCGCAAAAGGAGCAGUUGGUUCGCACAAUGUUCCUCCUGGACCGAGCAACGCCGUGAUUCCUUAUCUGCCUGAGGCUACUGCUGAAAUGGAGAACACGUUGAUUGAGUACACCGCAAACAACGUGUUUGGCGACUUCGACUAGUCCCUCAAUCUCCUAGUGAUCUACUCAAUUAUGUCCAUUUGUGAUGAUUGUAAUAAGAACAUAAGUUUGUUAUUGUCUUUAUAUUGUAUUGUAUCAGCACAUUUGAUAUAAUAAAGAUUGUAUCCUAUAUAUUACUAUGAGGUUUUCUUAUUGAAAAUUCUUUGUUUUAUAUAGUUUUCUACGGGGACAAUCCGAUGGAAGAGGAAUUAUGCCUUGUGGACAGUUGUGCCACAAACUCCAUACUGAGGGAGAUGAAAUAUUUCCAAACUCUGACAAGACGAAUGGAGAUAUUCUAACUAUCGCUGGACGCGAUACUGUGAUUGUUGGUACUGGACGUGCCAUACUCACCCUCCCAAGUGGUACAUAUGUGACAAUUGAGGAUGCUUUACUGUAUCCCGAUUCUGCACGUACCCUGAUCAGUUAUCGAGAUAUCCGUAAAAAUAGUUUUCAUAUUGAAACCCAUGAAGACAACAAAGAGGAGUAUCUACUCUUUACUAAAGAUGACGGAUAUGGCAAAAAGGUACAUGAGAAAAUUCCUUCUCUGUCGUCUGAUUUGUACUAUACGUACAUCAUACCCGUGGAACAUGUUGCAUACAAAGUAAUUUUUUAGAAUGUUAACGCAUUCCAAACCUGGCAUGAUCGCCUAGGCCAUCCUAGAAUAGGGAUGAUGAGAAAAAUUACUAGCAAUUCCAUUGGUCAUAAUUUGCUUGAGUCAAAAUUUCCUCAAUCUUCUGAUUUUGUGUGCCACGGGAAAGCUAAUUUUGAGGCCCUCACACCUCAAAAUACAAGCUGAACCACUUCAGUUCCUUGAACGUAUUCAAGGAGACAUUUGUGGUCCCAUUCAAGCAUUAUCUGGACCUCUCCGGUAUUUCAUGGUUCUGAUUGACGCAUCUACACGAUGGUCACAUGUGUGUCUUCUAUCCACAUGAAACCAUGCAUUUGCCAAGAUAAUGAGGCAAGUCAUUAAGUUGCAAGCCCAUUAUCCUGAUAGUCGAAUUAAGUCAAUUCGAAUGGAAAAUGCUGCAGAAUUCUCCUCACGUGCUUUCAAUGAUUAUUGCAUGGCUUUGGGGAUUGAAGUUCAGCACUCUGUUCCAUAUGUCCAUACACAAAAUGGUUUGGCUGAAGCAUUGAUUAAGAGGAUCAAACUCAUUGCAAGACCUUUGUUGACGAAUUGCAACUUGCCAACCUCUUGUUGGGGUCACGCUGUUUUACACGCUGCUGACUUGAUACAAUUGAGGCCAACUGCAUAUCACAGUUCUUCCCCUCUGGAAUUGGUACGUGGAAAUCCUCCAAGCAUUUCCCAUCUGCGUAAGUUCGGAUGUGCUGCAUACAUCCUGAUCUCACCACCACAGCGGACAUCUAUGGGCCCACACAGGAAGUUGGGGAUCUAUGUGGGGUACAAAUCGCCGUCGAUUAUUAAGUACCUGGAACCCCUGACUGGGGAUAUGUUCACAACCCGUCACGCUGAUUGCAUAUUUAAUGAGGAACAUUUUCCGGCAUUAGGGGGAGAUUUCAAGUACCAGAAAGAAUGCCCGGAAAUUGAUUGGAAUGCUCAUUCCAUUUCAUCCUCUGAUCCACGUACCCAUGAGACCGAACUUCAAGUUCAGAAGAUCAUUAAUUUGCAACAUCUUGCAAAUAAUCUGCCAGAUUCAUUUACUGAUUUGAAAGGUGUUACAAAAUCCUUAAACCCGGCCAGAAACGCGCCAGAAAGAGUGGAGGUACCAAUAAAAACCACUCAACUCCCUAUCCCUAAAAAGAGGGGGAGUAGUACGGCCUCUGACCCGGAGCAUGUUUCUAGCAAGCAGCAAAGGAAAUCGAGGAGAAAAACCUCAGAGUCAGUAAAUGCAGGUCAACUCAACGUUGACAAACACCUGACGGGUAGUAUACACCCAGUGGAAGGGCAACCUCCACAACCCAGUUCCAGUGUGCACAAACUGACUGGGACAUCGGAACACCCAGACUCGAUCGUAUUGGGAAAUCACGAAGAGUCACUAGGGGUGCAGGAAAUUUCCAUCAACUAUGUUGAUUCUGGAGAAUCAUUUGACCAUAAGACUACGACUGUCGACAUAUAUUUUGCUGAAAGAUUGCAGAUACCCUUCUCACUGAUCAUGAUCCAAGGUCUAUCGUUGAGUGCCAAAAGCGCUCCGACUAGCCUAAAUGGAAGGAUGCAAUCCAAGCAGAAAUUGCCUCGCUUAACAAAAGAAUGGUAUUCAUUGAAGCAGUACCUACACCUCCAAGUGUUUUCCCUGUGGGAUUCAAAUGGGGUUUUCUCCGGAAACGGAAUGAGAACAAUGAGGUGGUGAGAUAUAAAGCAAGGCUCAUAGCACAAGGUUUCAUGCAGAAACCCGGCAUUGAUUUCACUGAAACAUAUUCUCUAGUAAUGAGUGCAACCACUUUCCGAUAUCUUAUAUCUUUGGCAGUGCAAAAUCGUCUAUCUAUGCAGUUGAUGGACGUCGUGACCGCAUAUCUUUAUGGGUCACUAGAUUCGGACAUAUAUAUGAAGGUUCCUGAUGGAAUCUCUGUCCCGAAUAAAAAUGCAAAACGCAACACUAUUGUGUAAAGCUGAAUAAGUCACUAUAUGGCUUAAGGCAGUCGGGACGGAUGUGGUACAACCGACUCAGUGAGUUCCUUCUUCGGAAAGGUUACUCCAAUAGUGCUGAUUGCCCAUGUGUUUUCAUCAAGAAGUCCUCUACAGGAUUUUGCAUCAUUUCUGUGUAUAUUGAUGAUCUCAACAUCAUUGGCAGCACACCAGACAUUGAUGAAGCACGCAAUCAAGUAAAGAUGGAAUUUGAGAUGAAGGAUUUGGGUAAAACCAAAUUUUGCUUAGCUAUUCAACUUGAGCAUCUUCCCUCGGGAAUCAUGGUACACCAAUCUGCCUAUAUCCAGAAAAUAUUGGAGAAAUUCAAUAUGGACAAAUCCUAUCCAUCUAAAACUCCCAUGGUGGUUCGAUGUCUAGACGUAGAGAAAGAUGGAGAAGAGGUGUUGGGACCUGAAGUUCCAUACCUUAGUGUUGUUGGAGCGCUUAUGUAUCUUGCAAAUUGCACAAGACCUCAUAUUGCAUUUGUAGUGAAUCUACUUGCUAGACAUAGCCCAGCUCCCACCAAACGUCAUUAGUUUGGAGUGAAGAAUAUCUUUCGAUAUCUCCAAGGCACAAAGGAUCUUGGCCUAUUUUUCCAGUUCCAGAAAAAUCAGGACUCUGAUGUGAUUGGAUAUGCAGAUGCCGGCUAUUUGUCUGAUCCCCAUAAUGCCAGAUCUCAGACCAGCUUUGUUUUCCUACAUGGUGGCACUGCUAUAUCAUGGAAGUCUUCGAAACAGACUCUGGUGGCAACAUCUACCAAUCAUUCUGAAAUAAUUUCAUUAUUUGAAGCAACAUGCGGAUGUGUAUGGCUUCGCAUAAUGAUGAACCACAUACAACAGUCAUGUGGAAUGGGUUCGAUAAAAUCACCUAGCAUUAUCUAUGAAGAUAAUGUGGCUUGUGUUGCGCAGAUGCAAACAGGAUACAUCAAGAGUAAUAUCACCAACCAUAUUUCUCCUAAAUGGUUUUUUCCCCAUAAUCUUCAGAAAAGCGAGGAAAUAAGCAUUCUGCAAGUCAAAUCAUGCAACAACCUUGCUGAUUUAUUUACCAAGUCUCUACCAAUUCUACAUUCCAAAAAUGUGUUCAUGGAAUUGGUAUGCGAAGACUUAGGGACUUGCAGGUGUCAGGGGGAGUCUCUUCUUGAGAUAUCCUCAUUUUAAUGACAUCACAUUAUGCUAUCUUUCUUUGUGAGUAUAUGUUUCAGGAUCUCAUCAAAGAUUUUAUGAAGAACUUUUGAAGGAGAAUCAUUUAAGAUGAUAGAGCUUCCCGGACAAUCGUGAAGAUGAUCUACAUGGGCAAGCAUAGAUUAGGGGGGGUGUUAAAAAUAAUUCUGUAAUUGGGGAAAAAUCUCCCCUUGCCCAAAACCAUCAUUGCGGUUUGUCCCACAACCGACGUCUCCCUUCGAUCUCCUGGAACCGGCGCCUCCUUGAGGAAUCGUCGUGUCUCUUCUGGAGAUAUAAAAGGGGGCCUGUAACCAUCGAUCAAAGGAUUCGAUCAUUCUGAUUCAAAACAAUAAUGCAAGACAAAUGAACUUGACAUAAAAACAACAAUGAUUGGACGCAUUACAUACAUCAUCAUGUGUAUGUGUAAUACAUGACCAUGUUUAGUGUUGCUGGAAGACCACUUUCCUUCUCAUCCUGGGCAACAACUUCAGCUUUGUUUUCACACAAUCUCUUUAUAGCAUAUGUCAGGGCAGUUCAUGGAUAAUCUGGAUAGUACUCACAUUUUCAUUCAUUUUUUCAUAUAAUGGUCAAAGAAAAAAAAGUACACUCAAUUUAUCAUUUAAUUAGAGCACCGGUUUAAUCCAUAAAGGCAGCGUGUAGAGCACUCUCUCACACACACAGAGGAAUGCUUGUAUUUCUUAGUUUUUCCACCUACCUAUGGCACAUCAUUUCAAGAAUAUAGUUGUUGAAGCAACUUAUAGGCAAAGCACGACUACUAUCACGACAUCCUUUUUGAGGACAAAGAUAAUUAAUAACACAACAUUCUAUGUCUCAUUGCUAUCUUAUUUAUUUGAUCAUUUUGGGAGCUUCAAUUCCUUGAGUAAUUCAGUGAAUGCCAUCUGCAAUGACCCAUUGUCGGCCAAUGCCAACACUCAUCUAGCCUUCUCCUUCGCUAAUGUCAGCCUCCCACUUAGAUUCUCCCCUUCUUCUCCAUGCCCUCAGCCUUCACAAGUUCCUUGCCAUACUUCUCCAUCACCUCCCCAACAUUCAUAUCAUCCACCACGAAUAUAAUUCAUAACAUUCAGGCGGUAAAGGUCAAUGUACACCAAACCGGUCAAAUAAAUAGUACUUUAGCAUCUCUCAAGGGAAGUUUCAAAUUUCACCUAAAAUUUUCAAUUAAAGUCAUGUCAAUAAUUUAAUCUUCUACCAAUAUUAAAUACUAUAUGAUAAAUGUGAUAGCUUAAAUUCAAAGUAAUAGAUUGGAUCCUCCCUUAACAAUAUGACUGGUAGAUAGUUUUGAGAGGAAAUCUGCAUAUAUUUUAGCAUAGACUUACCCAAAGAAGAAGUCAUUAUAACCGCUCAACAAAUGACCUAUAACAUCUAAUGUACCGAAGGGGAACAGAUCAGAUGACAUGUUUUUGUAAGUCCUAGGAUAACCAAAAAGCACAUCAUCAUGACAUGUCCUAAGUUGGAAGUGUGACACUUAUGACCAUGGUAUGUAAUUGAUAUAUUCCAGUUGGAAGUGUGUCAUCAGAUGCAAUGUGGAAGUGUGUCAUUAGAUGCAAUGUGGAGGGAAGAUAUCAAGGAUACUCAUCGGAGUAUAUAUGCGGUGGCACUGGAGCAGCUGAUUACCGGUAGGAGAACGGCAGCCCCACUCGUGUACUGGUCGGCAGUCACAACCAUGCAAUUGUACC
rnacentral:lncRNA from 1 species